GAGUGAGUCACUAACCUGAAAAGGCAUGUAGAAUGGGAGAUCUGACUUUUCACACUUUGCUUGCUGCGUGUUUGCAGUCAGCGAUUUACCCAGCAGGGAAGUUAUGACCCGGAGGACAGCGCUGGAGCCUGCAGAUUGUACCAGCCAACCGGAUCACAAAGGAUAAAUACCUCGACUGGUAAAGUGGAAAUCCCUUUAAAUGAAAUGGAAAUACAUUGUAUCUGACAACAACUGAGCGUUGUACAAUGUCGUAUGUUCUGCUCUUAUUUUUAAACGAAGCAAAUGCACACUUACAAUUCAGAUCUGCAGUAAGCAGACAACAUCUAUCUCUCUUGUAUUGAGCUCAUGUCUAAUUUGUUGUGCCGCUCUUUGCCUUGUCACUGUGAAGAUAGGCGGGUGAUUCAUUUGUUCGUUAAGUUGCUUCAUCAAUCUGUCCAUCACAGUUUCAAAUAAACUUCAAUUACAAAACCAA